rnacentral:rRNA from 1 species
GAUGAACGCUGGCGGCGUGCUUAACACAUGCAAGUCGAACGAUGAAGCUCAGCUUGCUGGGUGGAUUAGUGGCGAACGGGUGAGUAACACGUGAGUAACCUGCCCUUAACUCUGGGAUAAGCCUGGGAAACUAGGUCUAAUACCGGAUAGGAGCGUCCACCGCAUGGUGGGUGUUGGAAAGAUUUAUCGGUUUUGGAUGGACUCGCGGCCUAUCAGCUUGUUUGUGAGGUAAUGGCUCACCAAGGCGACGACGGGUAGCCGACCUGAGAGGGUGACCGGCCACACUGGGCCUGAGGCACGGCCCAGACUCCUACGGGUGGCAGCAGUGGGAAAUAUUCCACAAUGGGCGAAAGCCUGAUGCAGCGACGCCGCGUGAGGGAUGACGGCCUUCGGGUUGUAAACCUCUUUCAAUAGGGAAGAAGCGAAAGUGACGGUACCUGCAGAAGAAGCACCGGCUAACUACGUG